ensembl:lincRNA Gm44204 predicted gene, 44204
GCCUCUCUUCCAGGUUCCCAUUGCCAUGAUAUCCUGUGGCCAGCGUAGUACUCCAGCCAUCCAGAUGGACUCCACUCUGUGUGAGGAUCUGAAUGAGGCCAAGCUCUGGGGAGCACAUGAGUAGUACCCCACCCAGAAGAUGAGCAGUGUCUGUCUCAGAACCCCUGGCCUGGGAUCCGGGCCGGGGCCUCAAUACACACAGUCACACAAAUGGAGAAACCAGGCCUUCCGUAGACUAUCUGCUUCCCCUAUGAGCUGGAGACAGAGCCACCGUAGGCUCAGUCUUAUCCUUGGAGUCCCUGUUUAUAACUAGCAGUCGACCAUGAAUUGAAGGCAGAGCCAGUAUCCAAGGCAGGAACCCAGGGGCAGGAGCUGAAGAGGCUGUGGAGGAACACUGCUUGCUGACUUACUCCUCAGGCUGACAUCCAGGUGAACAGCAGCAAGAUGAGAGAGGAGCCUAUCUCAAGCCAGCAGCCUGCCUGUGGCAUUCCCAGCCUCCUCACCCUGACUCCAGUGUCUGCAGUUCUGCUAUUCAAGCACCGCCGCCCCCCCCCCCCCCCCCCCCCCAGCCCAAUAUCCUGCUCCUAAACCAGCCUCCAGGGAAUUCAGGGUCUGGACCCAGCCCCCCUGCUUGCCCCUGGCCAAAGGUUCUGUAGCCACACAAGGACUUCAUGGAGCUGCAUGUCCCUUCAGGGUUGACACAUCCCUUGUGGCAUGUGGUAUCAUCAUUAUACAGCAUUCCAAAGC